rnacentral:rRNA from 1 species
AAUUGAGACCGGCGCACGGGUGCGUAACGCGUAUACAAUCUACCUUUACAGAGGAUAGCCCAGAGUAAUUUGGAUUAACUACCUCAUAGUAUUUUUGAAUCGCAUGAUUUGAUUAUUAAAGUUCCAACGGUAAAAGAUGAGUAUGCGUCCCAUUAGCUAGUUGGUAAGGUAACGGCUUACCAAGGCUACGAUGGGUAGGGGUCCUGAGAGGGAGAUCCCCCACACUGGUACUGAGACACGGACCAGACUCCUACGGGAGGCAGCAGUGAGGAAUAUUGGACAAUGGGCGCAAGCCUGAUCCAGCCAUGCCGCGUGCAGGAUGACGGUCCUAUGGAUUGUAAACUGCUUUUAUACAGGAAGAAACACUCCGACGUGUCGGAGCUUGACGGUACUGUAAGAAUAAGGAUCGGCUAACUCCGUG